rnacentral:rRNA from 1 species
AGCAGCCGCGGUAAUUCCAGCUCCAAUAGCGUAUAUUAAAGUUGUUGCAGUUAAAAAGCUCGUAGUUGAAUUUCGGGAUCAAUCUAUCGGUCGUGCAAUAGUACGUACUGAUUUUAUUGAUUCCUACCUUCUGAUGAACUAUGAUGUCAUUAAUUUGGUGUCAUAGGGAAUCAGGACUGUUACUUUGAAAAAAUUAGAGUGUUUAAAGCAGGCUCACGCUUGAAUACAUUAGCAUGGAAUAACGAAAUAGGACGUUUGAUUCUAUUUUGUUGGUUUCUAGGAUCGACGUAAUGAUUAAUAGGGAUAGUUGGGGGCAUUAGUAUUCAAUUGUCAGAGGUGAAAUUCUUGGAUUUAUUGAAGACUAACUACUGCGAAAGCAUUUGCCAAGGAUGUUUUCAUUAAUCAAGAACGAAAGUUAGGGGAUCGAAGACGAUCAGAUACCGUCGUAGUCUUAACCAUAAACUAUGCCGACUAGGGAUCGGAUGAUGUUAAUUUUUUAAUGACUCUA